AUAUGGCGACACUUUUCAAUGACCGAGUCAAAGAUGGUAUGUGGCAACAGUUUACUAUCCUUGUAAAAAAAUAAAAACAUAUAAAGAAUAAUGGGUGAUGGAAAUUUUUUAAUAAAAUUUUCAGGAUUAGGCGGUUCAUUAUUUUGGUUUCCCUCUGUCUUUUCAUCUUUUCCCACUGUUCUAAAAUUCCCCAAAUUAAACUCUAAUUUCGUUUCUCUCUCCUCACUUAACUCACAUCUUAAACUGCAAAUUAUUGUUGAAUUUCGUUGAUUGUUUCAAAGACAAGGCAAAAGGGGGCUGAUCAUUCAACAGUUUAGCGGAUUAUUUCUACUAUCUUCAAGAUCGACAUAGAGGUUUUACCUAUGGUUCCUCCUGGUAGAAAGGCUAAUGAAGAAGGCUCGCCAUAUUCUGGACAGGAUAGUGGGGUGGUUUAUGCUGUCAAAUUGGACUCUGCUGAUGCAAUAACUAACUCAAAGGAUGGUGUCACUGAUCAUUUUGGAAAGUGUUUGCUUGUGCUGCAAGAGAUGGCUUCUGUGCAAAAUAUGCCUCUCUUGGUUCAUGGGAGGUUACAGAUCCCGACGCGAAUAUAUUUUAUCGGGAAAUGUUAUUCAAUGAGUCAGUUGUAAGACCUUUAUUACAGAGACUUUCUCAGCUAAAAGUUGUGACGAAACAUAUCACUACGGCGAUGCUGUCAAGUUUGUUGAAUUAGGCGAUGGAGCCACUGUGACUCCGAACACCUUGUAUUGGAUUGGAACUCUCUUUUCCAAGGAGGCUUGCAGCCACUGCACAAAACUACUAUCUUCAAUGCUCAAAAGGGGAAGGCACUUAUUUCAGCGGUAACUUGUGGGAGUAAAGAAUAUUUUCUUGGGACUGACAGUGCUCUUCAUGAGAGGUGGAAGAAGGAAUUUCUUGUGGAUGUGCUGGAAUCUUUCAUGCUCCUCUUGCUCUAUCACUUUAUGCCAAAAUAUUUGAAGUUUGCAUUCAUAAUAGAAGAGAAGUGGCUCUAGCUGGAGAAAGCCAAGUGUUUUAGUGCUCCAGGUUUUAUCUCUGCUGCUGUAGUGGAGCGCUGUUGUUUCUCUCUUCUGGAACAUUGCUACUGCUCGAAUUGUAAUGAGCUCUAUUUAGUUUUUUUUUUGUUUUUUUUUUUCAUUUUUUUGGAUGAAAAGUGUAAAUCUACUAACUAUAAAUGAAAAUAUCUAAGUUUUAUGUGUAUAUAUGUACUAUGUCUAUUGAUCAUUUUGGCUGAAAAAUGAAAAAUUGUUGCUUUUAAGCCAUUUUGAACCAGUGCCAAUUGCUUUUUUCUAGUGUUAUUAGCCACGGUAAUAUUUAUGGCGAAAGAGUUUAUUAGCCAUGGUAGAACUUGUGGCAAGUAAUUUGAUAGCCACGUUAAUAUUCGGGGCAAGUGAAUUUGUU